GAGGAAUAUUGGACAAUGGGCGAAAGCCUGAUCCAGCGGCGCCGCGUGAGUGAUGAAGGCCUUAGGGUUGUAAAGCUCUUUCAGUGGGGAAGAUAAUGACGGUACCCACAGAAGAAGCCCCGGCUAACUUCGUGCCAGCAGCCGCGGUAAUACGAAGGGGGCUAGCGUUACUCGGAAUUAUUGGGCGUAAAGCGUGCGCAGGCGGCUUAGUAAGUUGGAAGUGAAAGCCCAGGGCUUAACCUUGGAAUUGCUUUCAAAACUGCUAGGCUAGAGUGUCAGAGAGGAUAGCGGAAUUCCUAGUGUAGAGGUGAAAUUCGUAGAUAUUAGGAGGAACACCGGAGGCGAAAGCGGCUAUCUGGCUGAAUACUGACGCUGUUGCACGAAAGCGUGGGUAGCAAAC
rnacentral:rRNA from 1 species